ACACGUCUACAUUAGAUACCCGCGUAGUCCCAGCCGUAAACUAUGCGCGUUAGGUGUAUCGGUGACCACGAGUUACCGAGGUGCCGAAGGGAAACCGUGAAACGUGCCGCCUGGGAAGUACGGUCGCAAGGCUGAAACUUAAAGGAAUUGGCGGGGAGCACCACAACAGGUGGAGCCUGCGGUUUAAUUGGACUCAACGCCGGGAAGCUCACCGGAUAGGACAGCAGAAUGAUUGCCGGGCUGAAGACCCUGCAUGACUAGCUG
rnacentral:rRNA from 1 species